CCCUCACAGCCUCAGCUCCCCCAUUAGCUGAAGGACCUCAGCACAGAACUGGCCGAGUUACUGCCAGUCCCCAGAGACUGGGGAGGUGACUUCCCCGGGGGGGCAGGGGAGCUCUGGGUACACCUUGACUUCCACUGCUGCUUUUGGACCU